rnacentral:tRNA from 1 species
GGGCAAUUGGUUUAGUGGUAUGAUUCUUGCUUUGGGUGUAAGGGGUCUUGAGUUCGAUUCUUGAAAUGCCAU